UCUGGAGAAGAAGAGGGACUAAUGAAGAUGUCUGGUGCAGCUCAUGCAGUUUAAUGCCAGAACAGCAUUGGUGCAGCAGUUCAACCUGGAUCCCGUUCACCUUGGGGCUUACUCGGGCCAGAACCAAAGAAGAAAGUGGCUUUCAUUUGGAAGGAACUCCACCACCGAGACAUCCAGAAGCUCCUAAUCAUUAGGAUCUACAACGCAGAUUUUCAGGUUUUCCUCCCACUUCAUCUACAUGCCCCACCACUGAGAGUCCGUAGGACAAAUUUGACUUUUCGUGUUGGCACAAAAACCUGCCCAUGUUGUGGGGCCAUGGGGCACUCACAACCCCUCCUCUCAUUGUGCUUCCAGGAGGAGGAAUGGGCCCUGGCAGUGAAUAACA